rnacentral:rRNA from 1 species
CCUACGGGGGACAGCAGUAAGGGAUAUUGGUCAAUGGGGGCAACCCUGAACCAGCAACGCCGCGUGAGGGAAGACGGUUUUCGGAUUGUAAACCUCUGUCCUCUGUGAAGAUGAUGACGGUAGCAGAGGAGGUAGCUCUGUCUAACUACGUGCCAGCAGCCGCGGUACUACGUAGGGAGCGGGCGUGGUCCGGAUUUACUGGGUGUAAAGGGUGUGUAGGCGGCUUGGCAAGUCAGUAGUGAAAUCCAGGGGGUUAAACCAUGAACUGCUAUUGAAACUGUCGAGCUUGAGUGAAGUAGAGGUAGGCGGAAUUCCCGGGGUAGCGGUGAAAUGCGUAGAGAUCGGGAGGAACACCAGUGGCGAAGGCGGCCUACUGGGCUGUAACUGACGCUGAGGCUCGAAAGCGUGGGUAGCAAACAGGAUUAGAUACCCUUGUAGUC